AUGACUCUCGGCAACGGAUAUCUCGGCUCACGCAUCGAUGAAGAACGYAGCAAAAUGCGAUACUUGGUGUGAAUUGCAGAAUCCCGUGAACCAUCGAGUUUUUGAACGCAAGUUGCGCCCGAAGCCAUUUGGUUGAGGGCACGUCUGCCUGGGCGUCACGC
rnacentral:rRNA from 1 species